CCUACGGGUGGCAGCAGUGAGGAAUAUUGGUCAAUGGGCUUACGCCUGAACCAGCCAAGUCGCGUGAGGGAAGACUGCCCUAUGGGUUGUAAACCUCUUUUGUCAGGGAGCAACGCCGGCUACGUGUAGCCGGCCUGAUAGUACCUGCAGACAAAGCAUCGGCUAACUCCGUGCCAGCAGCCGCGGUAAUACGGAGGAUGCGAGCGUUAUCCGGAUUUAUUGGGUUUAAAGGGUGCGUAGGCGGACUGCCAAGUCAGCGGUAAAAUCGCGGGGCUCAACCUCGAUCCGCCGUUGAAACUGGCGGUCUGGAGUGGGCGAGAGGUAGGCGGAAUGCGUGGUGUAGCGGUGAAAUGCAUAGAUAUCACGCAGAACUCCGAUUGCGAAGGCAGCAUACCGGCGCCCAACUGACGCUGAAGCACGAAAGCGUGGGUAUCGAACAGGAUUAGAUACCCUUGUAGUC
rnacentral:rRNA from 1 species